GCAGCCGCGGUAAUUCCAGCUCCAAUAGCGUAUAUUAAAGUUGCUGCAGUUAAAAAGCUCGUAGUUGAAUUUCGGGACCAAUAUGUCGGUCGUGCCUCGGUACGUACUGGCAUCGUUGGUUUCUCCCUUCUGACGAACCAUGAUGUCAUUUAUUUGGUGUCGUGGGGAAUCAGGACUGUUACUUUGAAAAAAUUAGAGUGUUUAAAGCAGGCUCACGCUUGAAUACAUUAGCAUGGAAUAAUGAAAUAGGACGUUUGAUUCUAUUUUGUUGGUUUCUAGGAUCGACGUAAUGAUUAAUAGGGAUAGUUGGGGGCAUUAGUAUUCAAUUGUCAGAGGUGAAAUUCUUGGAUUUAUUGAAGACUAACUACUGCGAAAGCAUUUGCCAAGGAUGUUUUCAUUAAUCAAGAACGAAAGUUAGGGGAUCGAAGACGAUCAGAUACCGUCGUAGUCUUAACCAUAAACUAUGCCGACUAGGGAUCGGAUGAUGUUAAUUUUUUAAUGACUCAUUCGGCGCCUUAC
rnacentral:rRNA from 1 species